rnacentral:lncRNA from 1 species
AUGGUUUUAUAAGUGUUUGGAAUUUCCUCCUUCGUUCUUCUUUCUCCUGCUUCCUUGUGAAGAAGUUGCUUGCUUCCCCUUCAGCUUCUGCCAUGAUUGUAAGUUUCCGGAGACCUCUGCAGCCAUGUGGAACUGAAUCAUGUUUUUCCCAGGAUGUCAAAGAUAAACUGGAGUUUCAAUCUUGCUACCUUAAGAGCUGAGGGAGAACAAAGAAUAAAACAAGAAAAUAAAGCUGACUCUAUUAAAAGAACAGAGACUAUGGAAAUGAUGUUAGACAAAAAACAAAUUCGAGCAAUUUUCGUAUUUCAGUUCAAAAUGGGUUGUAAAGCAGUGAAGACAACUUGCCAUAUCAACAACACAUUUGGCUCAGGAACUGCUAACAAACGUACAGUGCAGUGGUGGUUCAAGUUUUGCAAAGGAGACAAGAACCUUGAAGAUGAGGAGCAUAGUGGCUGGCCAUCAGAAGUUGACAAAGACCAAAUGAAAGCAAUUAUCGAAGUUGAUUCUCUUACAACUACUCAAGAAGUUGCCGAAGAACUCAAUGUCGAUCUUUCUACAGUAGUUUGGCAUUUGAAGCAAA